rnacentral:rRNA from 1 species
GAUUCUGGCUCAGGAUGAACGCUAGCGACAGGCUUAACACAUGCAAGUCGAGGGGCAGCAUAAAAGUAGCAAUACUUUGGUGGCGACCGGCGCACGGGUGAGUAACGCGUAUGCAACCUACCUAUCAGAGGGGAAUAACCCGGCGAAAGUCGGACUAAUACCGCAUAAAACAGGGGCACCGCAUGGUGAUAUUUGUUAAAGAAAUUCGCUGAUAGAUGGGCAUGCGUUCCAUUAGGUAGUUGGUGAGGUAACGGCUCACCAAGCCGACGAUGGAUAGGGGAACUGAGAGGUUGGUCCCCCACACUGGUACUGAGACACGGACCAGACUCCUACGGGAGGCAGCAGUGAGGAAUAUUGGUCAAUGGGCGGGAGCCUGAACCAGCCAAGUCGCGUGAAGGAAAGAAGGAUCUAUGGUUCGUAAACUUCUUUUGCAGGGGAAUAAAGUGCAGGACGUGUCCUGUUUUGUAUGUACCCUGAGAAUAAGGAUCGGCUAACUCCGUGCCAGCAGCAGC